rnacentral:lncRNA from 1 species
UUGACUAUCCUUCACAAAUAAGUCUCUGUCUCUAUAUGUAUAUGAACAGAAAAUGAAUGUGGGAAUCAGCAUAUGGAUGGAACUUGAGUGUAAGCAUUCAUUGAACUCUGUUUAUCAUGAUUACAUACACAUGCCUUCAUCUGAAAGCGACUUUCCAGUCUAUAUGAUUGAUAUUUGUUCUCCAUAUUCUUUCUCUCUUCAAUUUCUCAUUGUUUACUGCCAUGGAUUGCCUAUACUUGACAUUGGGGGCACCGUGACCUACGCUUUUUCACUUGUUUGCUGAGGUUUACUGUGCAGACAUCUAUGCUUUUUGGUGCAUGUCUUAGGAUUAGUAGAAUGUUCGAGUGUCACUCUUGCUUCAGAGUUGCCUUGUGGAGUGUAUUGGAGCAUGUAUGUAGGGUUACAUGGUGUAACUUCCAUGCUGUAGUGUUGUAUUUGUAACUAUAUGUGAAAGAAAUUCAAGAAUCUGCAUAUCUAUCAUCAGUAACCAUGGUAGCUGUUAUGGGAGCACAUCGACAUUUCCUUGAAUCACCGUCUAUUGUUAAUAUUUGCUGUUUUGCAUAUUGGACAGGGCAUGAUAGUCUUUUACUCAUAUAAACGUUUAUCUCCACCUAUCCCAACCUUGGUUUUUUUCAUGGAGUAAAAUGUUUUUUAUCAACAUUGAACCUCAAUUAGCCGCAAUCCAGGACACAAGAUUUUCAUGAUAUGUGUAGUAUUGGUUUAACGGUUUGUGUUAGCCUUUUAGAAACAGUUCCAGAUACUUGAUAGGAUUGUCUCUUAGGGUGUUUUAGAGAAAGAAUUUCUGCAAAGAAGUCUGCGGACAAUAAGACAGAUUUAAAAUCUGGCUAAUUGUGUUUUUCGGAGUGUUCAGUGAAAAGGCAUAAUGAGCAGUAUGUUUGGGCUAAGUGCUUAUCUGUGUGGUUCUAUAUUGCUAGAAACCAAAUUAAGCUAUCUAUUUCGAGUAUUAGCUUUGUAUAGUAACCUCAAGAGCGAGGAAGGCAAAACAUGAUUGUUUAUCUCCGUUUGCAUACUUCAAAUUGUUCGGUGUCGGGUGAUGAUGUAUUGAGAUAGUACAUAAUGCUUUGAAGUUCUCAUUGCCAUUCACGUUUGAUAUUAGAGACAGU